UCAUGGCUCAGAUUGAACGCUGGCGGCAGGCCUAACACAUGCAAGUCGAACGGUAACAGGAAGCAGCUUGCUGCUUUGCUGACGAGUGGCGGACGGGUGAGUAAUGUCUGGGAAACUGCCUGAUGGAGGGGGAUAACUACUGGAAACGGUAGCUAAUACCGCAUAACGUCGCAAGACCAAAGAGGGGGACCUUCGGGCCUCUUGCCAUCGGAUGUGCCCAGAUGGGAUUAGCUUGUUGGUGGGGUAACGGCUCACCAAGGCGACGAUCCCUAGCUGGUCUGAGAGGAUGACCAGCCACACUGGAACUGAGACACGGUCCA
rnacentral:rRNA from 1 species